ensembl:snRNA U6 U6 spliceosomal RNA
GACACUCCGUGGCUCCAUAAUGUAAUAUAAUGUCAUCUAAUAAAAUUCUAGCGAUACAGAAAAGAUUAGCAAGGCCCCUAUGCAAAGAUGACAUGCAAAUUCAUGAAGCAUUCCAUAUUUUU